CCCGGUGAAUAUUUAAACGGCCGCAGUUUGGAGCUGUGCUAAGGUAGCGUAAUAAUUUGUCCUUUAAUUAAGGAAAGGAAUCAAAGGUUUGACGUAAUAGCUUCUGUCUCUAAUUUAAUAAAUGAAUUUUUCUUUUUGGUGAAAAGCCCAAAAUUUUUAAAAAAGACGAGAAGACCCUAUCGAGCUUGAAUCACUUUAGUUGCUAAAUUAAAGGAAAGUUUAAUUGGGGCAAUUAAGGAGCAUGGAAAGACUCCUAACCUAUUCUUAGAUCCAAAAUAUUUUUGAUAAAUGGAAAAAGUUACCGUAGGGAUAACAGCGUAAUCUUUUUUGAGAGAACAAAUUGAAGAAAAG
rnacentral:rRNA from 1 species